GAUGAACGCUGGCGGCGUGCCUAAUACAUGCAAGUCGAGCGAUGAGAGGAGGACUUUGCUCCUUUGACGUUAGCGGCGCGGGGGUGAGACACAUGUGUAUAACCCCCCUUUACGGCGGGGAACACUUCGGGACAACGGCGAUUAUCCCGGAAUAGUUAUUGAAGCGCAUGGUUUGAUAAAGAAAGGCAAUUUUGCUGCUACUUGUUGAUGGUUCGUUGCUGUAUUAGCUAGUUGGUAAGGUAACGGCUUACCAAGGCGACGAUGCGUAGCCGACCUGAGAGGGUGAUCGGCCACACUGGGACUGAGACACGGUCCAGACUCCUACGGGAGGCAGCAGUAGGGAAUCUUCCGCAAUGGGCGAAAGCCUGACGGAGCAACGCCGCGUGAGUGAAGAAGGUCUUCGGAUCGUAAAGCUCUGUUAUUAGGGAAGAACAAAUGUGUGAGUAACUAUGCACGUCUUGACGGUACCUAAACAGAAAGCCACGGCUAACUACGUG
rnacentral:rRNA from 1 species